UACGGAGGGUGCGAGCGUUAAUCGGAAUUACUGGGCGUAAAGCGUACGUAGGCGGCUUUGUAAGUCAGGCGUGAAAGCCCUCGGCUCAACCGGGGAAUUGCGCUUGAAACUACAUGGCUAGAGGUCGAGAGAGGGUGGCGGAAUUCCUGGUGUAGGAGUGAAAUCCGUAGAUAUCUGGAGGAACACCAGUGGCGAAGGCGGCCACCUGGAUCGAUUCUGACGCUGAGGUACGAAAGCGUGGGGAGCAAACAGG
rnacentral:rRNA from 1 species